CCUACGGGUGGCUGCAGUGGGGAAUAUUGGACAAUGGGCGAAAGCCUGAUCCAGCCAUGCCGCGUGUGUGAAGAAGGCCUUCGGGUUGUAAAGCACUUUCAGUGGGGAAGAAAGCCUUGGGGCUAAUACCCUCGAGGAAGGACAUCACCCACAGAAGAAGCACCGGCUAACUCCGUGCCAGCAGCCGCGGUAAUACGGAGGGUGCGAGCGUUAAUCGGAAUUACUGGGCGUAAAGCGCGCGUAGGCGGUCUGAUAAGCCGGUUGUGAAAGCCCCGGGCUCAACCUGGGAACGGCAUCCGGAACUGUCAGGCUAGAGUGCAGGAGAGGAAGGUAGAAUUCCCGGUGUAGCGGUGAAAUGCGUAGAGAUCGGGAGGAAUACCAGUGGCGAAGGCGGCCUUCUGGACUGACACUGACGCUGAGGUGCGAAAGCGUGGGUAGCAAACAGGAUUAGUACCCGGGUAGUC
rnacentral:rRNA from 1 species